rnacentral:rRNA from 1 species
AUUGAACGCUGGCGGAAUGCUUUACACAUGCAAGUCGAACGGCAGCACGGACUUCGGUCUGGUGGCGAGUGGCGAACGGGUGAGUAAUGUAUCGGAACGUGCCCAGUCGUGGGGGAUAACGUAGUGAAAAUUACGCUAAUACCGCGUACGAUCUAUGGAUGAAAGCGGGGGAUCGCAAGACCUCGCGCGAUUGGAGCGGCCGAUAUCAGAUUAGGUAGUUGGUGGGGUAAAGGCCCACCAAGCCAACGAUCUGUAGCUGGUCUGAGAGGACGACCGGCCACACUGGAACUUAUACACGGGUCAGACUCCCACGGGAGGCAGCAGUAGGAAAUUUUGGACAAUGGACGAAAGCCUGAUCCAGCCAUUCCGCGUGCAGGAUGAAGGCCCUCGGGUUGUAAACUGCUUUUGUACAGAACGAAAAGGUUUCUACUAAUACUAGGAGCUCAUGACGGUACUGUAAGAAUAAGCACCGGCUAACUACGUGCCAGCCGCCGCCGUAA